GUUUGACGUUUCAGAAAAUGGAGAAAAACCGGAUCCAGUGGUCGUAUAAAAGACGACCCAUUCGUCGUUGGAUUCAUAACCCUCACAAUCGUCUAGAAAUAGAAAGAAAAUGAAGUCCUUUCCUAUUGUCGUCCUUUUGGCUGUCGUCGGCCUGGCUGUCGCCGCUACUGGGGCGAAUUACACGAUAGUGCCGAUAAGCGCAGAGACAACAACAACAACCAAAG
rnacentral:misc_RNA from 1 species